AACGUAGGACACAAGCGUUAUCCGGAGUUACUGGGCGUAAAGGGCGUGUAGGCGGGUCAAUAAGUCUAUUCUGAAAGCUCCUGGCUAAACUGGGAGAGGCGAAUGGAGACUGUUGGUCUAGAGUGAGGAAGAGGAAAGUGGAAUUCCGCGUGUAGUGGUGAAAUGCGUAGAGAUGCGGAGGAACACCAGUGGCGAAAGCGGCUUUCUGGUC
rnacentral:rRNA from 1 species